rnacentral:rRNA from 1 species
UGAACGCUGGCGGUAUGCUUAACACAUGCAAGUCGAACGGAAACGAUACUAGCUUGCUAGUAGGCGUCGAGUGGCGGACGGGUGAGUAACGCGUAGGAAUCUACCUGAUAGUGGGGGAUAGCCCGAAGAAAUUCGGAUUAAUACCGCAUAAUCUAUUCGUAGUAAAGUGGGGGACUUUCGAGCCUCACGCUAUCAGAUGAGCCUGCGUAAGAUUAGCUAGUUGGUAGGGUAAAAGCCUACCAAGGCUACGAUCUUUAGCUGGUCUGAGAGGAUGAUCAGCCACAUCGGGACUGAGACACGGCCCGAACUCCUACGGGAGGCAGCAGUGGGGAAUAUUGGACAAUGGGGGCAACCCUGAUCCAGCAAUACCGCGUGUGUGAAGAAGGCCUGAGGGUUGUAAAGCACUUUCAAUUGUGAAGAAAAGCUAGUGGUUAAUAGCCAUUAGCCUUGACGUUAACUUUAGAAGAAGCACCGGCUAACUCCGUGCCAGCAGCCGCGGUAAUACGGAGGGUGCAAGCGUUAAUCGGAAUUACUGGGCGUAAAGCGUGCGUAGGCGGUUUAUUAAGUCAGAUGUGAAAGCCCCGGGCUUAACCUGGGAACUGCAUUUGAAACUGGUCAACUAGAGUAUGGUAGAGGAAAGUGGAAUUUCUGGUGUAGCGGUGAAAUGCGUAGAUAUCAGAAGGAACAUCAAUGGCGAAGGCAACUUUCUGGACCAAUACUGACGCUGAGGUACGAAAGCGUGGGGUAGCAAACAGGAUUAGAUACCCUGGUAGUCCACGCCGUAAACGAUGAUAACUAGCCGUUGGGGGGAUUUACCCCUUAGUGGCGAAGCUAACGCGUUAAGUUAUCCGCCUGGGGAGUACGGCCGCAAGGUUAAAACUCAAAGGAAUUGACGGGGACCCGCACAAGCGGUGGAGCAUGUGGUUUAAUUCGAUGCAACGCGAAGAACCUUACCUGGUCUUGACAUCCUGAGAACUUUCUAGAAAUAGAUUGGUGCCUUCGGGAACUCAGUGACAGGUGCUGCAUGGCUGUCGUCAGCUCGUGUCGUGAGAUGUUGGGUUAAGUCCCGUAACGAGCGCAACCCCUAUCCUUAUUUGCCAGCACAUCAUGGUGGGAACUAUAAGGAGACUGCCGGUGAUAAACCGGAGGAAGGCGGGGACGACGUCAAGUCAUCAUGGCCCUUACGACCAGGGCUACACACGUGCUACAAUGGGAAGGACAAAGAGCCGCGAAGCCGCGAGGUGUAGCUAAUCUCAGAAACCUUUUCGUAGUCCGGAUUGGAGUCUGCAACUCGACUCCAUGAAGUCGGAAUCGCUAGUAAUCGUAGAUCAGAAUGCUACGGUGAAUACGUUCCCGGGUCUUGUACUCACCGCC